ACUCCUACGGGAGGCAGCAGUGGGGAAUAUUGCACAAUGGGCGCAAGCCUGAUGCAGCAACGCCGUGUGAGUGAAGAAGGUUUUCGGAUCGUAAAACUCUGUCCUAAGGGAAGAAACAAAUGACGGUACCUUAGGAGGAAGCCCCGGCUAACUACGUGCCAGCAGCCGCGGUAAUACGUAGGGGGCAAGCGUUAUCCGGAAUCACUGGGCGUAAAGGGUGCGUAGGCGGCUUAGCAAGCCAGGGGUGAAAGGCAUUGGCUCAACCAAUGUAAGCCUUUGGAACUGUUAAGCUUGAGUGCAGGAGAGGUAAGUGGAAUUCCUAGUGUAGAGGUGAAAUUCGUAGAUAUUAGGAGGAACACCAGUGGCGAAGGCGACUUACUGGAACUGUAACUGACGCUGAUGCACGAAAGCGUGGGUAGCGAACAGGAUUAGAUACCCUGGUGGCACAGAG
rnacentral:rRNA from 1 species